rnacentral:rRNA from 1 species
AUUGAACGCUGGCGGCAGGCUUAACACAUGCAAGUCGAGCGGGGUGAUGGUGCUUGCACUAUCACUUAGCGGCGGACGGGUGAGUAAUGCUUAGGAAUCUGCCUAUUAGUGGGGGACAACAUCUCGAAAGGGAUGCUAAUACCGCAUACGUCCUACGGGAGAAAGCAGGGGAUCACUUGUGACCUUGCGCUAAUAGAUGAGCCUAAGUCGGAUUAGCUAGUUGGUGGGGUAAAGGCCUACCAAGGCGACGAUCUGUAGCGGGUCUGAGAGGAUGAUCCGCCACACUGGGACUGAGACACGGCCCAGACUCCUACGGGAGGCAGCAGUGGGGAAUAUUGGACAAUGGGGGGAACCCUGAUCCAGCCAUGCCGCGUGUGUGAAGAAGGCCUUAUGGUUGUAAAGCACUUUAAGCGAGGAGGAGGCUCUUUUGGUUAAUACCCAAGAUGAGUGGACGUUACUCGCAGAAUGAGCACCGGCUAACUCUGUGCCAGCCGCCGCCGUAA